UGGGAAACAGGUUAAUAUUCCUGUACUUGGUGUUACUGCGAAGGGGGGACGGAGAAGGCUAUGUUAGCCGGGCGACGGUUGUCCCGGUUUAAGCAUGUAGGCUGGUUAUCCAGGCAAAUCCGGAUAAUCAAGGCUGAGGUGUGAUGACGAGGCACUACGGUGCUGAAGUAACAAAUGCCCUGCUUCAAGGAAAAGCCUCUAAGCAUCAGGUAACAUCAAAUCGUACCCCAAACCG
rnacentral:rRNA from 1 species